GACGAACGCUGGCGGCGUGCCUAAUACAUGCAAGUCGAGCGGACGAUUCGAAAGCUUGCUUUUGAAUCGUUAGCGGCGGACGGGUGAGUAACACGUGGGCAACCUGCCCUGUAGACGGGGAUAACACCGAGAAAUCGGUGCUAAUACCGGAUAACACGAAAUGUCGCAUGACGUUUCGUUGAAAGGCGGCGCAAGCUGCCGCUACAGGAUGGGCCCGCGGCGCAUUAGCUAGUUGGUGAGUAACGGCUCACCAAGGCGACGAUGCGUAGCCGACCUGAGAGGGUGAUCGGCCACACUGGGACUGAGACACGGCCCAGACUCCUACGGGAGGCAGCAGUAGGGAAUCUUCCGCAAAGGACGAAAGUCUGACGGAGCAACGCCGCGUGAGCGAAGAAGGCCUUCGGGUCGUAAAGCUCUGUUGUUAGGGAAGAACAAGUAACGUAGUAACUGACGUUACUAUGACGGUACCUAACGAGAAAGCCACGGCUAACUACGUG
rnacentral:rRNA from 1 species